rnacentral:rRNA from 1 species
UACAGAGGGUGCGAGCGUUGUCCGGAAUCACUGGGCGUAAAGGGCGCGUAGGUGGCGGCCCAAGUCCGUGGUGAAAGCUCGCCGCUUAACGGCGAGUCGGCCACGGAGACUGGGUGGCUCGAGCACUGUAGGGGCAGAUGGAAUUCCGGGUGUAGCGGUGGAAUGCGUAGAGAUCCGGAAGAACACCGGUGGCGAAGGCGGUCUGCUGGGCAGUUGCUGACACUGAGGCGCGACAGCGUGGGGAGCAAACAGG